AGAAUCAACGCUGGCGGCGUGCCUAACACAUGCAAGUCGCACGAGAAAGGGGAGCAAUCCCUGAGUACAGUGGCGCACGGGUGAGUAACACGUGAAUAAUCUACCUCCGAGUGGGGAAUAACUGAGAGAAAUCUUAGCUAAUACCGCAUAACACUUACGAGUCAAAGCAGCAAUGCGCUUGGAGAGGAGUUCGCGGCCGAUUAGUUAGUUGGCGGGGUAAUGGCCCACCAAGGCGAUGAUCGGUA
rnacentral:rRNA from 1 species